rnacentral:rRNA from 1 species
UACAGAGGUCCCAAGCGUUGUUCGGAUUCACUGGGCGUAAAGGGUGCGUAGGUGGUGAGGUAAGUCGGAUGUGAAAGCUCGGAGCUCAACUCCGAAAUGGCAUUGGAAACUACCUUGCUCGAGGGUUGGAGGGGGGACUGGAAUGCUUGGUGUAGCAGUGAAAUGCGUAGAUAUUCGGAAGAACACCAGUGGCGAAGGCGACUCACUGGACACGUAUUGACGCUGAGGUGCGAAAGCGUGGGGAGCAAGCAGG